UAACCUGCCCAAGAGAUCGGGAUAACACCUGGAAACAGAUGCUAAUACCGGAUAACAACAGAUGAUGCCUAUCAACUGUUUAAAAGAUGGUUCUGCUAUCACUCUUGGAUGGACCUGCGGUGCAUUAGCUAGUUGGUAGGGUAACGGCCUACCAAGGCGAUGAUGCAUAGCCGAGUUGAGAGACUGAUCGGCCACAUUGGGACUGAGACACGGCCCAAACUCCUACGGGAGGCAGCAGCCC
rnacentral:rRNA from 1 species